UGCAGUCGAGCGGAUGAAGGGAGCUUGCUCCUGGAUUCAGCGGCGGACGGGUGAGUAAUGCCUAGGAAUCUGCCUGGUAGUGGGGGAUAACGUCCGGAAACGGGCGCUAAUACCGCAUACGUCCUGAGGGAGAAAGUGGGGGAUCUUCGGACCUCACGCUAUCAGAUGAGCCUAGGUCGGAUUAGCUAGUUGGUGGGGUAAAGGCCUACCAAGGCGACGAUCCGUAACUGGUCUGAGAGGAUGAUCAGUCACACUGGAACUGAGACACGGUCCAGACUCCUACGGGAGGCAGCAGUGGGGAAUAUUGGACAAUGGGCGAAAGCCUGAUCCAGCCAUGCCGCGUGUGUGAAGAAGGUCUUCGGAUUGUAAAGCACUUUAAGUUGGGAGGAAGGGCAGUAAGUUAAUACCUUGCUGUUUUGACGUUACCAACAGAAUAAGCACCGGCUAACUUCGUGCCAGCAGCCGCGGUAAUACGAAGGGUGCAAGCGUUAAUCGGAAUUACUGGGCGUAAAGCGCGCGUAGGUGGUUCAGCAAGUUGGAUGUGAAAUCCCCGGGCUCAACCUGGGAACUGCAUCCAAAACUACUGAGCUAGAGUACGGUAGAGGGUGGUGGAAUUUCCUGUGUAGCGGUGAAAUGCGUAGAUAUAGGAAGGGAACACCAGUGGCGAAGGCGACCACCUGCACUGAUACUGACACUGAGGUGCGAAAGCGUGGGGAGCAAACAGGAUUAGAUACCCUGC
rnacentral:rRNA from 1 species